rnacentral:sRNA from 1 species
AAAUUAGACAGCGUGAACGGGAGAUAAAAAGAACAUUUAUAAAAAACAUAGAUUGAAUAAUAGUUCCAAGUGGUUAACAUUUGGACAAAAACUCAGACCGUAGUUUUAAGCUGC